GACGAACGCUGGCGGCGUGCUUAACACAUGCAAGUCGAGCGGUAAGGCCCUUUCGGGGGUACACGAGCGGCGAACGGGUGAGUAACACGUGGGUGACCUGCCCUUAGCUCUGGGAUAAGCCUGGGAAACUGGGUCUAAUACCGGAUAUGACUCCAUGACGCAUGUUGUGGGGUGGAAAGCCUUGUGCGGCUAGGGAUGGGCCCGCGGCCUAUCAGCUUGUUGGUGGGGUGAUGGCCACCAAGGCGACGACGGUAGCCGGCCUGAGAGGGCGACCGGCCACACUGGGACUNAGACACGGCCCAGACUCCUACGGGAGGCAGCAGUGGGGAAUCUUGCGCAAUGGGCGAAAGCCUGACGCAGCGACGCCGCGUGAGGGAUGAC
rnacentral:rRNA from 1 species